AGGACUGCAGCUGACCCACAGUGGGCAUGUAGAGAGAAAAAAACUGUGUAAGCCACUUAACACAAUCUGGAAUAAACUGGCUGGCACAAGGCUCUUCAGAUAUUGGAUCCUUGAACAACGACAAGCACCUGUGAGUUCCCCAGCAAGUAUAGCAAUAAACCUGAAUGUGGAAACCUUAACCAUUGAGCUAGUUAUGCUUUAUGAAGAACAACACCAUUUAGCAAGAGAGGAAGCUGUCCAAACGGUGACCCACCACUGAGAAGGUGGCAUGCAAACCUCAAUCCUGCCUGCAUUUUCUUUGACAGCUACCCCCCAACCCCCCCACCACUGCCGCGGGGAACUGAGCACCUAGGGCACCAGCCCACUCCACGGGUCCCAAAUCAGCUAGAUGGUGACGGAAAUGGAAGGAAUGGAACACAUUGGAAAGGAUUUGGCUGCAAAUGGGAAAGUGUAAUUUAGCCCCCAUGCAUCAGUACAGCAGAGAUGUGACGUAACAGGAACAUGACUACGCAUCCUGUCACCGCAGCAGGCAGCUCUGAAUUUUCCAGAGAUAAAAUUCAUUUUAAUGUCUUCCACAGAAAAGGAAUCUAAAUGUUUGUCAUUCUGAAUGACAUACGGCAUGUCAUUUCAAGAUAUAACAGCAUGUCUUUCCAGCAUUUAAAAAUCACAGAAAUUCAGAAUCUGAUGAAGUUAAUGGACAUCCGUUCAAGUCUUCUUUUCUACUUAUUCAACCUGAUCAUCAUGAAAGUCAACAAUUGCUAAAUAAAGAAGUUAAUUACGUUCAUAAGGAUUUUAUUCUUCCGAGAUCAAUAAUGACCAACAUAAUUCCAUACU